UCUCAUUGAAACACUAGUACCCAUACGAUCACCAAAGUUAAGCAACAUCAAGCCUGGUCAGUAUCUAGAUGAGUGACCACUUGAGAAUACCAAGUACUGUAA